GACGAACGCUGGCGGCGUGCUUAACACAUGCAAGUCGAACGGUAAGGCCCUUCGGGGUACACGAGUGGCGAACGGAUGAGUAAUACGUGGGUGAUCUGCCCUGCACUUCGGGAUAAGCCUGGGAAACUGGGUCUAAUACCGGAUAGGACCACUGCCUGCAUGGGUGGUGGUGGAAAGCUUUUGCGGUGUGGGAUGGGCCCGCGGCCUAUCAGCUUGUUGGUGGGGUGAUGGCCUACCAAGGCGACGACGGGUAGCCGGCCUGAGAGGGUGACCGGCCACACUGGGACUGAGAUACGGCCCAGACUCCUACGGGAGGCAGCAGUGGGGAAUAUUGCACAAUGGGCGCAAGCCUGAUGCAGCGACGCCGCGUGAGGGAUGACGGCCUUCGGGUUGUAAACCUCUUUCAGCACCGACGAAGCGCAAGUGACGGUAGGUGCAGAAGAAGGACCGGCCAACUACGUGCCAGCAGCCGCGGUAA
rnacentral:rRNA from 1 species